GGAGGGUUGGCAGAAUGGCAAUGUGCCGGUCUUGAAAACCGGUGGGCGAAAGCCCUUAGAGGUUCGAAUCCUCUACCCUCCGCCA
rnacentral:tRNA from 1 species